GACGAACGCUGGCGGCGUGCUUAACACAUGCAAGUCGAACGGAAAGGCCCUGCUUUUGUGGGGUGCUUGAGUGGCGAACGGGUGAGUAACACGUGAGUAACCUGCCCUUGACUUUGGGAUAACUUCAGGAAACUGGGGCUAAUACCGGAUAGGAGCUCCUGCUGCAUGGUGGGGGUUGGAAAGUUUCGGCGGUUGGGGAUGGACUCGCGGCUUAUCAGCUUGUUGGUGGGGUAGUGGCUUACCAAGGCUUUGACGGGUAGCCGGCCUGAGAGGGUGACCGGCCACAUUGGGACUGAGAUACGGCCCAGACUCCUACGGGAGGCAGCAGUGGGGAAUAUUGCACAAUGGGCGGAAGCCUGAUGCAGCAACGCCGCGUGCGGGAUGACGGCCUUCGGGUUGUAAACCGCUUUCGCUUGUGACGAAGCGUGAGUGACGGUAAUGGGUAAAGAAGCACCGGCUAACUACGUGCCAGCAGCCGCCGUAAAAC
rnacentral:rRNA from 1 species